CCCCGCCUUCCCUCAUCUCUUCUUGCACUCUUUGCCCCCUUUUUCUCCCCCCAUCCUUAUUUCUCUUCACAUUCCCCUGUUCUUUUUUCCCCUUUCCUCUUCUUCAUCCCCAGCUCCGCUUCCCCCCCCACCUCACGUCCCCUUUCUUCUGUCCCUGUACCCCAUUUUUCCCCUUUUUUCCCCAUCCCCCUUUUUUUUUUUUUUUUUUCUCUGCUGUCCCCUAUUCCCUUUUUCCUCUUUGCUCUCUCUCUCUCCUUUCUUCCCCCUCAUCCUGUUACAGAAGAGAGUGAAGGAAUGAUGGACAAGCUGGUGCAGGAUGGCAGCAGCAGGGUGGAAGCCCAGGUGGGUGCGAUGAAGCCGGGGGUGGGAGUGGGUGGAGCCAGAGCCCAGCCUGAGCUCAUUUAAGGGCUGGGAAUCGCAGGGCUCAGAUGUGUGCCUGGGCUUCUGGUGUCAGUGAGGUUGGGUGAGCAGUGAGGUUUGGGAGGGACCGACUUGUUGGCCUUGAGAUUGAUGCCCAGCUCCUUGCUCGUCGCAUUCUGUUCGGCUCGAGGUUCCGGACACGGCUUGCUCUUCUAAGCAGCGUGAGGACUGCGAGAAAGACUUUGUUGGAUGCAGCAGGAAAGCACAGCCGCUGGUGGAUGCCAGUGUCCGCUCCUGAGGCUCUGCGCCAAGCUCUGCCCAGUACUGAUGGGAUGUCAGUGCCACCUGCUCCUCUCAACAAAAGGAAGGUUCAAUUCAUUUUGGCUCCUGUAGUAUUUGCUACACGUGUGUUCUGUUUCUCUUCUCUUUUUUCCAUGUUGCCUGGCAGUGCCUCGCUGGAGUUCCCAUGACCCCCGGGCACACUUGUGACCAAGUGAGGUGCCAAAAGAAGAGGUAUCUCCUAAACAGGCUUCUGCUGAGUGCUGUCCUCGUCUUGGGGUUUGUCCAAUGCCCACCUUUCUUUUCUAACCCACUUUGUUGAGGACGGCGUGUGAGGCUUUCUUCUUUCUUUGUAGGAUUGGCGACUCCACCACCGGACCUAGCAGGCAUUUUGGGAGGUCUAUGGUUCCGCAGAGAGCAUGUCCUGUUCCUGGUAAAGGUGUGGGCGUUCCUGGACAUAAAGGUAUCUUCAUGCUUUCCCCAUUUGCCAAGUACCCUGCCAGAUGCUGUUCGCAUUUUGACACCCCCUCAGUUGCUGUAAUGUCUGCGCCCUGAUUCUUGGACUGGGGUAAGUGACACCUUUGAAAACAAGUGACAUAUUAGGCUAAAAACAGGGAUUUCUAUGAAAAUAAGAGAUAUUUGAGGAUAAAAACAGGGAUUUCCAUGAAAAUAAGCGAUAUUUUAGAG